rnacentral:rRNA from 1 species
AGCAGCCGCGGUAAUUCCAGCUCCAAUAGCGUAUAUUAAAGUUGUUGCAGUUAAAAAGCUCGUAGUUGAAUUUCGGGAUCAAUAUUUCGGUCAUGCCGUUGGUAUGCACUGUUAUCAUUGAUUUCUCACCUUCUAAAGAACCGUAAUGCCAUUAAUUUGGUGUUACGGGGAAUUAGGACUGUUACCUUGAAAAAAUUAGAGUGUUUAAAGCAGGCUCACGCUUGAAUACAUUAGCAUGGAAUAAUGAAAUAGGACAUCCGAUUCUAUUUUGUUGGUUUCUAGGAUCGAUGUAAUGAUUAAUAGGGGUAGUUGGGGGCAUUAGUAUUCAAUUGUCAGAGGUGAAAUUCUUGGAUUUAUUGAAGACUAACUACUGCGAAAGCAUUUGCCAAGGAUGUUUUCAUUAAUCAAGAACGAAAGUUAGGGGAUCGAGGACGAUCAGAUACCGUCGUAGUCUUAACCAUAAACUAUGCCGACUAGGGAUCGGAUGAUGUUAAUUUUUAAUGACUCAUUCGGCGCCUUA